AUUUUUAAAAAACCAAUGUCUGUGCCCUCCCUCGAACCAAUUAAAUCAGAAGUUCUGGGAAUAGAUCCCAGGUAUAGGUGAUAUAAAAAUCUUCCCAGGUGAUUAUAAUACCUACUUUUGAGAGCAACUAUCCUUGAAGUAGAAGCAAUAGCUUAGCCAAUUGAAAUUGGGGUUGAUGGAAAUUCCAAGUGGAAGCAUCAAUGCCCACAAAGACAAGACCAUGAGAUGGAGCAGAGCACGUAGGAGAACGACCCAAAAACUUCUCUCCAAGGCAUGGCCUUCCUUGUUCCCUUUGUCCAAGUUUGAUGAGCUCACUCUACACACGUAACUCCCAGAAUCAAGGAGUGGAAAGUGCCAGGGCAGAUUUCUGCAUGAACUUACCUGUCAGGUGGACAAAGAAUUCUCUGUGCAUCCUUUAAGGCCCAGACGUAGCACUACCUCUUCAUGAUCCAUGUUGAUAAACAGAACUCCCAUGCCAAGAAUAGUGCAUUGGGUGAGAGGAUUUCAUGGAGGCAUCUUUUUGGAUUCCACAACGAGGGCCAAGCAGCAUAAAGUCAAGAGGUUGCAUGCCAGUUUCUUAAAUGGUCACUGGGAAACUGUAAGAUCCUGUUUAUUCACUAAAUAUAGUUCUUAAGAACAUUAAUCUAAGCCUGAAAGAUGAAUACAUCUGGGUCCACUGCUCCCUUGCGGUGCUAUUUAGUUACUCUGUCACUUAAAAAUGGCUCAGGCAAUGAAGUUCAAAGACUCCUUCUCUUUCCACUCCCACCCCUUUAUACAUCAUAUAAUCUAGCAAUGUCAUGAUUUUUUGACUGACUUGUGGCUCAUUUGUGUUGAAUAACCAGGUACCGAUUAUCUAGUUUCCUGUCUCCACAGGAAAUCACACCUUCUGGAAAAAUCAAUUUGUUCAAUAUCUUUUAGUCAUUUAUAAUCAGAUUAAGAAAUAAAAUAGAUUUUUGGUAAAGACUCAAUAAUUCUUAUUUUAUUAAUCUGAAACCCAGGUAUUCCCAUAAAACUGCUAAGCAAUGAUAUCCAUUUCCUAGGAAAGAAUUAACCAAUUUUCUGAAAUGUUCUACAAGAUCAGUAGCAUAAUACUACCAACAUUAUCUUAACUAAUUGAAGCUAGAUUGCACCUGUCAAAAUAAAUUAAUAAAAUAUAUUUGAGAAUGCAGUUUCUAUGAUUUCUAAUGUACAUAUUCAUUGAAUUUCUAAUUUACAUGUUUUGAUAACCCACUAUGGACCUCUCAGGGUCUCACUUCUAGUUGUCAAAGUUCCUGUGGAGAUCAUUAAACACAAGUUUGCUUUCUAUUUUGAACUUAAUAAAACCUGUUAGUCCUCUUUGUUCAAAGGAGGCUUUCAUUCAAUUCCAUUACUUCUUGUUUUUUCUAUUUAGUGUUGCAAAAUAAUUGUAAUAUGCUUAGGUGUGAUUAUACCUCAUUAGGACAAGUUCUUUUUUAUCAUUUAUAUAGUUAGGUAGGUAUCUCAACAAAAUGAAGCAGGCAUGUGAUAACCCCCAUAAAGAAGAAGAAAUCCCAUAACAGGUACAUAUUGCAUUUCUUAAGAAUUACAUUUUCUUCUACUGAGUGUAAGCUCCAUGAGGAUAGCAGCUGUUUUUAGCUUGUUCAUGACUGUAUACCAUUGCCUUGUCCAGUGCUGGAUAUAAUAAGUGCUCAGAAAAAUUAUCAAAUAAAUGACGUUGUUAACCUUG
rnacentral:lncRNA from 1 species